rnacentral:rRNA from 1 species
UACGUAGGGACCAAGCGUUGUUCGGAUUUACUGGGCGUAAAGCGUGCGCAGGCGGUUUUGUAAGCCAGAUGUGAAAUCCCCGGGCUCAACCUGGGAAUGGCAUUUGGGACUGCAAGGCUGGAGUUUGGCAGAGGAGACUGGAAUUCCCGGUGUAGCAGUGAAAUGCGUAGAUAUCGGGAGGAAUACCGAUGGCGAAGGCAGGUCUCUGGGCUAUAACUGACGCUCAUGCACGAAAGCGUGGGGAGCAAACAGG